GAAUAUUGGACAAUGGGCGAAAGCCUGAUCCAGCCAUGCCGCGUGGAUGAUGAAGGCCUUCGGGUCGUAAAGUCCUUUUCUGAGGGAAGAACAAGCUGGAGAGUGGAAAGCUCCGGCCCUGACGGUACCUCAGGAAUAAGCAACGGCUAACUCCGUGCCAGCAGCCGCGGUAAUACGGAGGUUGCAAGCGUUGUUCGGAAUCACUGGGCGUAAAGGGAGCGCAGGCGGUCGGAUUAGUCCAAAGUGAAAGUCCGGGGCUCAACCUCGGAAGUGCUUUGGAUACUGCCCGACUUGAGUACGCGAGAGGUGAGCGGAAUUCCAGGUGUAGCGGUGAAAUGCGUAGAUAUCUGGAGGAACACCGGUGGCGAAAGCGGCUCACUGGCGCGAUACUGACGCUGAGGCUCGAAAGCGUGGGGAGCGAACAG
rnacentral:rRNA from 1 species